rnacentral:sRNA from 1 species
UAGCAAUAUCGUUAGCCCCUAACUAGUA